GCAUCACACAUGCAAAGUGAGAAAAAAUAAGCAGGUCUUCAGAUUAAAGGAGUCACAGUACUUUCAAGGCAAAGAAGUGAAAGCACGCAUCAGAGACAGAGACCACCUGGACAACCUUUACCGCUAUCCUGUGAGAGGAGGAAGAAUUGUAGCUGACCAAGGUGACAUCAUAUAUUUCUGAU